CACACAGGACCUUUGGACGAGGUCAGAGAUCUUAAGGGAGGCACCAUCGGGAUGACCCUGGGAUAAUCCCCAAGCUCUUUCCUACUCCCUCACCUCAAUGGAAACAAAGGGCUCUGUAGAGAAGAACUUGGCCAUCCACAUCUCAAAGUUAAGCCCAAAGCAGUUGAAGAAGGCCCAGAUGAAGAUCCCCCAGCUUGGCCCCAGCCACAGGGCAAUGAUGCCGAACAACCCUCUUCAAUGUCCAUAGAUGGGAUCUGCUUUCCUUGGAGAUGAAGGGCUCCAUCUUGAAGGUGGCCAGCAUUGUGAGGCCGGCGGUAAAGCACAGCCAGCGCAGCUUCACCAGGGAGAUGCUG